CCUACGGGAGGCUGCAGUGGGGAAUAUUGGACAAUGGGGGGAACCCUGAUCCAGCCAUGCCGCGUGUGUGAAGAAGGCCCGCGGGUUGUAAAGCACUUUCAGUGAGGAAGAACGCCUGGUGGUUAAUACCCAUCAGGAAAGACAUCACUCACAGAAGAAGCACCGGCUAACUCCGUGCCAGCAGCCGCGGUAAUACGGAGGGUGCGAGCGUUAAUCGGAAUUACUGGGCGUAAAGCGCGCGUAGGUGGCUUGAUAAGCCGGUUGUGAAAGCCCCGGGCUCAACCUGGGAACGGCAUCCGGAACUGUCAAGCUAGAGUGCAGGAGAGGAAGGUAGAAUUCCCGGUGUAGCGGUGAAAUGCGUAGAGAUCGGGAGGAAUACCAGUGGCGAAGGCGGCCUUCUGGACUGACACUGACACUGAGGUGCGAAAGCGUGGGUAGCAAACAGGAUUAGAUACCCUUGUAGUC
rnacentral:rRNA from 1 species